AGUCUGAAGUGAUGGCAGGCUGACACACUCAUGAAUAAUUCCUUUACAGAUGGUUGGCAUCAGUCUGGCGUGAGGUUGAGUAUACCACAGGAACAACUGAUCCUACAUGGACUGCUGGAGGAACCCCUGCAUGAUCUGCUGCUCAUCUUUCUGCUGGAUGGAUGAAGUAAUUUGUGCUUCAUACAGAAUGGUGGCUGUAUGCAUGCUGUGGAGAUCAGGAGCAUGCUGCCUGAAAAAUUGUUCAUACAGAACCUCCCUGAUGGAGCCUGGGCUGAGAGUGAAC
rnacentral:lncRNA from 1 species